rnacentral:tRNA from 1 species
ACUGGGUUGGCCGAGUGGUUAAGGCGUUGGACUUAAGACCAAUGGACAAGGGACCGCGUGGGUUCGAACCCACACCAGUA